rnacentral:tRNA from 1 species
CAAGGAAUAGUUUAAUAAAAAAUUUUAAUUUUGGAAAUUAGAGAAGUGGGCUUAUCCAUUUCCUUGA